UAACACAGGCAACUUGGAAUCAAGGUUUUUGAUAUUAUUUCACUUCCUACCACAGGCAACUUGGAAUCAAGGUUUUUGUUAUUAUUUCACUUCCUACCACAGGCAACUUGGAAUCAAGGUUUUUGAUAUUAUUUCACUUCCUACCACAGGCAACUUGGAAUCAAGGUUUUUGUUAUUAUUUCAGUUGUAAAAAUUAUUUUCAGUGACUGACAUGAAAAACAUGACAACGUUAUGUAUCAGUUAGCAUUGGAUACUUGUGUAUACGUAUGACGAAGUUAAGCCGCGCUCUGUGUUUGGGGUUCACAGAUACUAUACCUCCCUUUUAGGUAUAGGAACGUCCCCCGUCAUACGUAUCAAGUAUCCAUUCUUACUGGUACGUUAAACUGAGAGUGAGGUGGCUCAGUUUGACUGAUGUGCGAUGGCUCAGUCAAAAUAUUUUUUGCACCAACUGAGAGUGAGGUGGCUCAGUCUGCAUGUGAAGCUCUGUAACAUGCUUUUAAGGGAAAACUGAGAGCGAGGUGGCUCAGUCUGCAUGUGAAGCUCUGUAACAUGCUUUUAAUUGUAAAAAGUAUUUUAUUUGUUUUUAUCCAAAUUUUAAUUGGGGAUAUUUUACUGUUUUUAUCCAAAUUUUAAUUGGGGAUAUUUUAUUGUUUUUACUGGAACAAACUGAGAGUGAGGUGGCUCAGUCUGCAUGUGAAGCUCUGUAACAUGCUUUUAAUUGUAUAUUUUAUUUGUUUUUAUCCAAAUUUUAAUUGGGGAUAUUUUACUGUUUUUAUCCAAAUUUUAAUUGGGGAUAUUUUAUUGUUUUUACUGGAACAAACUGAGAGUGAGGUGGCUCAGCCUGCAUGUGAAGCUCUGUAACAUGCUUUUAAGGGGGAUAAAGUAUUUUAUUUGUUUUUAUCCAAAUUUUAAUUGGGGAUAUUUUACUGUUUUUAUCCAAAUUUUAAUUGGGGAUAUUUUAUUGUUUUUACUGGAACAAACUGAGAGUGAGGUGGCUCAGUCUGCAUGUGAAGCUCUGUAACAUGCUUUCAAGGGGAAAAAAGUAUUUUAUUUGUUUUUAUCCAAAUUUUAAUCGGGAAUAUUUUACUGUUUUUAUCCAAAUUUUAAUUGGGGAUAUUUUUCUGCAUUUAUCCAAAUUGUAAUCGGAUAUUUUGACUGUUUUUAUCUAAAUUUUAAUUAUGGAUAUUUUACUGUUUUUAUCUAAAUUUUAAUUGGAGAUAUUUUACUGUUUUUAUCCUAAUUUAUAAGUUGAGGCAGGUCAUUUUAUGAUUAUUUGGGAAAUGAGGGACUUUUUACAUUAUUUUAUCCAUUUGGGUGUGGGGGACAAAGGGAAUAUUUUACUUUCUAAGUCCAAAUUUUAAUUUAUACAGGAGACCCUUUUUUUAUCUUUUUUUAGUUAAAUGUUGAGCCCCCAAGUCAAAUCAAAGACUUAAAAACUGGUACUCCAAAAGGAAAAGAUAGGUGACCUACUGUGGGCAUUUGUCUUGGUGAACUAGCACCUUAAAGUCCAGCUAACCCACAGGCCGGCUGGCUAGUACAAGCAGACAGGUAUUUUUAAUACCAUUUGGCAUUUUAAACUUUGGCAUUUUUCAUUUGGCUUUUUGUUUUAUGUGUUUUUGAACUAUUUGGAUUUAUACCAUUUGGCAAUUUUCAUUUAUGUUUUUUUCAUUUUUUUCAACAUAUUUUGUAAUCAACACACCAAAAACACUUCAAAAUUAAGAGUGGGAUAUAUACUUUUUGGCCUCCAUAAUGUUUAUCAAUCAAAACAGCAUUCUAUUUUCAAAUUUACAUUACACAAUUUGGCUUUCUGUAACGUUGGCUGUUAAUCUUUUGUACGAAUGCUAUGAUGACCAUUAUGUGUAGAAAAUAAGACUACAUUUCUAAAAGUGGCUCAGGUUCAUAUAUUUAUGUUUGAUAUCAAUCAGUUCUAAAUUUCCUUCACAUUUCUAAAAUUUUAAGAUCUUCCAUAUCUGGUACAUCUUAUAAUAUCGUAUUCAUCUACUAACCCAAUUUUCUCAUAGGGACUUAACACGAAGCAGAAGGGGUAUUAGGUGGUAGGUGGUUAAGGGUGUUAUGAUAGGGUGAAAGGGUGAGAAAGGGAGGGAGAAAAAUAGAAUGAUGGAGAGGGUGAUUGUAUAUGAUUGUAAGUGGAAUAUAGAGAGGGAGUUAAUCUGUGAGAGAAUGUGAUUUCAUAGUAAGGGCAGGGUGUACUGGUCUGGAAGUAUAGUUUCUGUUUUGUCUCGUGUGGUUUCUGUUUUCUACAUCAAUCUGAUAAGUUUAAAUAUUGAGAAAUUGCUGUCGUCUAAAAGUUCACAGGUUAACAGCCUUU